rnacentral:lncRNA from 1 species
UAGACUCCCAGCUUUGCUAGCAUGCAUGUUAGCAUGACCUGGGGAAUGAAAAGGAAUCAAUGCCCUGCUGCCCCACCACCAGCCAAUUGAACCAGGGUCUCUGGUGGUGGAGCCUGGGCAUUCCUGAAUGAGUGACAAGGUUGAGGGCUUGAGUGGAGGCCGGGCUUGAAUGCAAUGAGGGGACAGAGAGGUUGACACAAUGUGCGGCUGGGCUGACUGGGGAACACGGGCUGGCCCUGCGGGGUUUGGGAAGACAGAGGCUGGCAGAGGACUGGGGUAGAAAAGGAAGGAAGAAUGGAAGGAGGAAUAGCGGGAGACAGGACAGCCUCAGCGCAAACUUUCAUUUCCUUCCCACCAGAGGGCACUAGGAUCCCCCUCUCCCCACUGCAGUGCUGGCCUGUGAGUUGAACUUUCCACAGUUGCCCAAACCUCUCCUAUAUGACAAGGAGCCCUCAGCCAUUCUGGUCACAGCACCCAGUCCCUCUCCUUAGGAAGCAGGUACAAUCUGUCUAACACAGCCUUGCAGGAGGAUGAUGCCACCGAGACCCUGAUAUGUGAGAUGACUUGCCCAAGGUCCCACAGCCAGUAAUUUGAAUGCAGGCAGUCAAACCAAGGAGGAAGCAGGGAGCAGCUGUGCCUUGAUGGGCGAGGGUGGAGGACUGCACAGGUCAGGGAGCUCGUUCUGGCUCCUGCCAGGGGAGUCGGCCAUGCAGUGUGUGAAAGGUCUCCUGGUUCCUGGGAGUGUUGGCUGUGAUGACAUCAUCCUAGAAGUCACUGACUGGAUUGGCAAUGGGGCUGAUGCUCACUGAGUGCCUGGCACGCUAUGUGCUGGGCACUGGGCUACACAACGGACACUGAAUACUUCCCAUAGACAACCCUGCAAGAUGCAUGACCUUGGGCAAGUUACUUGACCUUUGUGGGCCUCAGUUGCCUUAUCAGUAAAUUGGGGAUAAUAAUAGGACUCACUUCCCAGGAAUAAAUGACUUUCUCCAAGUAAAGCAA